CGGCUCGGAUCAUGGCUCAGAUUGAACGCUGGCGGAUGCUUUACACAUGCAAGUCGAACGGCAGCACGGACUUCGGUCUGGUGGCGAGUGCUUAAUCGUGAGUAAUGUAUCGGAACGUGCCUAGAUAAUACGCGGGGGAUAACGCAUGCCUUAUGGUAAGCAGCAUUACUGCAUAGCUGCCCUUCGGGGAAAGCGGGACCUUCGGGCCUCGCACACUAUUAGAGCGGCCGAUAUCGGAUUAGCUAGUUGAAUGGUAACGGCUCACCGGGCGACGAUCCGUGCAGCUGGUUUGAGGACGACCAGCCACACUGGGACCGAGACACGGCCCAGACUCCUACGGGAGGCAGCAGCAAAUUUUGGACAACUGGGGAAACUCCAUCCGCCAUCCCGCGUGUGCGAUGAAGGCCUUCGGGUUGUAAAGCACCCUUUGGCAGGAAGAAACCGCACGUGAUAACACCGUGCAACUGACGGUACCUGCAGAAUAAGCACUGGCUAACCACGUGCCAGCAGCCGCGGUAAUACGUAGGGUGCAAGCGUUAAUCGGAAUUACUGGGCGUAGCGUGCAACGCAGGCGGUUCGGAAAGAAAGAUGUGGAAUAUCCCAGAGCUGAAUUGAAUUGUUUUUAACUACCGAGCCAGAGUGUGUCAGAGGGGAGGUAAUCUCCGCGUGUAGCAGUGAAAUGCGUAGAUAUGCGGAGGAACACCGAUGGCGAAGGCAGCCUCCUGGGAUAACACUGACGCUCAUGCACGAAAGCGUGGGGAGCAAAGACAGGAUUAGAUGCCCCCGGCAGUCCACGCCCUAAACGAUGUCAACUAGCUGUUGGGGCCUUCGGGCCUUGGUAGCAGCUAACGCGUGAAGUUGACCGCCUGGGGAGUACGGUCGCAAGAUUAAAACUCAAAGGAAUUGACGGAGACCUGCACAAGUUGUGGAUGAUUCAAGACACUCCGAUGCGGAACGCGAAAAACCUUACCUACCCUUGACAUGUCUGGAAUCCUGAAGAGAUUUGGGAGGCUGCAAGAGAACCGGAACACAGGUGCUGUGGCUGUCGUCAGCUCGUGUCGUGAGAUGCUGGGUUAAGUCCCGCAACGAGCGCAACCCUUGUCAUUAGUUGCUACGAAAGGGCAAUUUAAUGAGACUGCCGGUGACAAACCGGAGGAAGGUGGGGAUGACGUCAAGUCCCUCAUGGCCCUAUGGGUAGGGCGCCUCACACGUCAUACAAUGGCCGGGACAGAGGGUCGCCAACCCGCGAGGGGGAGCCAUCCCAGAAACCCGAUCGUAGUCCGGAUCGCAGUUCGCAACUCGACUGCGUGAAGUCGGAAUCGCUAGUAAUCGCGGAUCACACCUGUCGUGCCGACCGCGCGUUCCCGGCCCCACACACCGCCCGUCACACCAUGGGAGUGGGUUUUACCAGAAGUAGUUAGCCUAACCGUAAGGAGGGCGAUUACCACGGUAGGAUUCAUGACUGGGGUGAAGUCGUAAUUAGUAA
rnacentral:rRNA from 1 species